rnacentral:lncRNA from 1 species
GGGGUGGGAGGUGGGGGGGGGGAUAUGGGGACCCCUCGGUGUGGGGUUAUGGGGCGGCAGGGGGUGAUGGUGGCUGUGACCCCAUAGGAGCCGUCCCUGUACACGGUGAAGGCUGUGAUCAUCCUGGAUAACGAUGGGGAGCGGCUGUUUGCCAAGUACUACGACGACACGUACCCCAGCGUCAAGGAGCAGAAAACCUUCGAGAAGAACAUCUUCAACAAGACCCACCGCACCGACAGUGCGUGAUAUGGGGGGGAGAACACAACCCCAUAACCAACACAUGGGGUCAUACAACCCCAUAACCACCACAUACUCACCCCAUGGGGGUCACACAACCCCAUACCGACCCCAUACCCACCCCAUGGGGUCACAGAACCCCAUACCCACCCCAUGGGGUCACACACCCCAUACCAACCCCAUACCCACCCCAUGGGGGUCACACACCCCAUACCCACCCCAUACCCACCCCAUGGGGGUCAUACACCCCAUACCCACCCCAUGGGGUCACACACCCCAUACCGAUCCCAUACCCACCCCAUGGGGGUCACACACCCCCAUACCCACCCUAUGGGGUCACAUCCCCCAUACCCACCCCAUGGGGGCCAUACAACCCCAUACCCACCCCAUGGGGUCACACAGCCCCAUAACGGCCAUGGGGUCACACAGCCCCAUACCCACCCCAUGGGGGUCACACAACCCCAUACCAACCCCAUACCCACCCCAUGGGGUCACACAACCCCAUACCAACCCCAUACCGACCCCAUACCAACCCCAUGGGGGUCCCACAACCCCAUACCCACCCCAUGGGGGUCACAUCCCCCAUACCCACCCCAUGGGGGUAACACAGGAUAACACAACCCCAUACCCACCCUACGGGGGUCACACAACCCCAUACCGACCCCAUGGGGAUCACACACCCCAUACCCACCCCACGGGGUCACACACCCCAUACCAAUCCCAUACCGACCCCAUGGGGGUCACACACCCCAUAC